UGCGACAGAGAAGCCCUUAACGAAGCACAGCUGGGGAAAUCGUUUGGAAAUACUCUUGAGAAUAAAGGGAAAAAAAUAAAAUUAAAGCCUUUCCUGCUGGAGGGAAGAGCCGGUCGCCGGGGAAUAGACCGAACGUCCACCCGGGAAAAAAAAAACACAAGGGCCACGCGACUAAAGGGCUGCGGUUGUGUAAUAAAAGCACGACGGCUCUUGCACAACAACGGCAAUUUCCACAGCUGAAACAGCUGCAUGGCCGAAGCCAUGCAUGAUUAAUAAUUUGGUCCCAGGGGGACAGCUGGAUGCCCCGUAAAUACAGCUGAGGAAAUACCGGGCAUAUCUGACACCGUAGUGUCUGUGUUCGGGGCGACGAUGUGUUUACAGUGCAAUUCAGUUGCCUUCUGAGAAAUUCGGAUUUUGCUUCUUUUGCCCCGAUAGCGCUGCCCUCGUCUCCAAAGCAUCGUGGAAGGCGAGGCGAGCAUGAGAAGGGAAGCCACGCAUUACUAUCGUGGCGCCGGCGCUGGCGGCCGCCGUCCCAUUGUCUGCUGGCUCACGCAUUUGCUAGCUUGCCAUCUGAAGUGAAGACCAUGUCACAGGUCUGGCUUGUGUAAAGAACCAAAAAUAUCCCACAGGAAAACGAAGGUGGUUCUUGGCUCCAGUCCUCCACGUUGUUCAUGACAAAUUUCCCUCAGAGGCUGUGUUGUUUCCUUGGGAUGCACCUGGUUUUGCUCUUGCUGACAGGAGACAACAUCUAUUUUAGAAACCUCAGGAAGUCAUGCCGGGAAGGAAGGAGAGGCUGACAGUUUCCUCCACCCCCACGAAGCAAGCAUUGAUGCUGGUUGUGGACACAGGGAGAAACUGCCCUGAAAGCUUUCUCGGUGGGCCCCUGAAAAACCAUCUCUUUUCAGAGACAGCAGCAGGAGCAGCUCAGUUUUGAAGAUGGUGUUAGAAACAAUAACUCUCCCCUCCCCCCCGCCACCCCACACUGCCUGGGUACAGCAAAAUGUGAAGAAGAAAAAAACACCACAUACUGAUGUUGUGAUCAUUCUCUGUAUGUAUUUAUGAUGUGGGAAGACUGUUUCACACAAAUGAGGGGAGUGAAACUAGGGCAGAUAGUCAUUAAAUAUGGAAACCAGA